rnacentral:rRNA from 1 species
AGGAUGAACGCUGGCGGCGUGCCUAACACAUGCAAGUCGAACGUCCUGUCUCGCAAGAGGCAGGGAGUGGCGGACGGGUGAGUAUCACGUGGGUUAUCUACCGUGAGGUGAGGAAUACCGGCGAGAAAUCGCCGACAAGACCGCAUAGCCUCGGUGCAAGCCGAGGAAAGCUUUCUCGAGAGAGGGAGCGCCACACGAGGAGCCUGCGCCCGAUUAGCUAGCUGGUGGAGUAACGGUUCACCAGGGCGACGAUCGGUAGCUGGUCUGAGAGGACGAUCAGCCACACUGGGAUUGAGAACGGCCCAGACUCCUACGGGGGGCAGCAGUGAGGAAUUUUCGUCAAUGGGGCAACCCUGAACGAGCAACGCCGCGUGCAGGAAGAAGGUUUUCGGAUCGUAAACUGCUUUUCUCGGGGAAGAGAACGGACGGUACCCGAGGAAUCAGCCCCGGCUAACUACGUGCCAGCAGCCGCGGUAA